rnacentral:rRNA from 1 species
UACAGAGGUCCCGAGCGUUGUUCGGAUUCACUGGGCGUAAAGGGUGCGUAGGUGGUCGGGUAAGUCUGAUGUGAAAUCUCCGAGCUUAACUCGGAAACUGCAUCGGAUACUAUUCGGCUCGAGGGUUGGAGGGGGGACUGGAAUGCUUGGUGUAGCAGUGAAAUGCGUAGAUAUCAAGCGGAACACCAGUGGCGAAGGCGAGUCCCUGGACAACUCCUGACACUGAGGCACGAAAGCUAGGGGAGCAAACAGG